rnacentral:ncRNA from 1 species
ACAGUACAAACUGAACAGACCGUGAUAUAAAUCAUGGAGUCGGGUCACUUAUAGUGACAGUGGAAUAUACACCCACGGGACAGU